rnacentral:rRNA from 1 species
ACUGUACCUGCAGAAGAAGCACCGGCUAACUACGUGCCAGCAGCCGCGGUAAUACGUAGGGUGCAAGCGUUGUCCGGAUUUAUUGGGCGUAAAGAGCUCGUAGGCGGUUUGUCGCGUCGGAUGUGAAAACCCAAUGGCUUAACCUUGGGCCUGCAUUCGAUACGGGCAAACUAGAGUGUGGUAGGGGAGACUGGAACUCCUGGUGUAGCGGUGGAAUGCGCAGAUAUCAGGAAGAACACCGAUGGCGAAGGCAGGUCUCUGGGCCAUAACUGACGCUGAGGAGCGAAAGCGUGGGGAGCGAACAGGAUUAGAUACCCUGGUAGUCCACGCCGUAAACGGUGGGCGCUAGGUGUGGGGAUUGUUUCCACGAUCUCCGUGCCGUAGCUAACGCAUUAAGCGCCCCGCCUGGGGAGUACGGCCGCAAGGCUAAAACUCAAAGGAAUUGACGGGGGCCCGCACAAGCGGCGGAGCAUGCGGCUUAAUUCGAUGCAACGCGAAGAACCUUACCUGGGCUUGACAUGGAGACUAAUCCGGCAGAGAUGUCGGGUCCUUCGGGG